rnacentral:rRNA from 1 species
CACGUAGGGCGCAAGCGUUGUCCGGAAUUAUUGGGCGUAAAGAGCUCGUAGGCGGUCUGUUGCGUCCGCUGUGAAAACUCGGGGCUUAACCCCGAGCCUGCAGUGGAUACGGGCAGACUAGAGGUAGGUAGGGGAGAAUGGAAUUCCCGGUGUAGCGGUGAAAUGCGUAGAUAUCAGGAGGAACACCGGUGGUGUAGGCGGCUUGCUGGACCAUAACUGACGCUGAGGCACGAAAGCGUGGGGAGCAAACAGG